AGACGCCUGAGGGUUUCAUCAUCGACAACUGCAAGAACAUCUAUUUUGCAGGGCAUGAAACAACCUCAACGACAGCUGCUUGGUGCUUGAUGCUUCUUGCGUCGCACCCUGAAUGGCAGUCCCGUGCUCGGACUGAGCUAUUGGAUGUCUGUCAAGGGAAACCGAUAGAAUUUGACAUGCUUCGGAAGUUGAAAAUGGUGUGUACACUCAACCGAGUAUUUGUCCUUACCUGACAAACACAUCACCGAUGAAAGCUUUAACUAUACAAUUGCAAUCAUCCUUGUGCAGCUAACAAU
rnacentral:lncRNA from 1 species